UAGUGGCGAACGGGUGAGUAACACGUGGGCAAUCUGCCCUUCACUCUGGGACAAGCCCUGGAAACGGGGUCUAAUACCGGAUAACACCUGCCCGGGCAUCCGGGUGGGUUAAAAGCUCCGGCGGUGAAGGAUGAGCCCGCGGCCUAUCAGCUUGUUGGUGAGGUAGUGGCUCACCAAGGCGACGACGGGUAGCCGGCCUGAGAGGGCGACCGGCCACACUGGGACUGAGACACGGCCCAGACUCCUACGGGAGGCAGCAGUGGGGAAUAUUGCACAAUGGGCGAAAGCCUGAUGCAGCGACGCCGCGUGAGGGAUGACGGCCUUCGGGUUGUAAACCUCUUUCAGCAGGGAAGAAGCGAAAGUGACGGUACCUGCAGAAGAAGCGCCGGCUAACUACGUGCCAGCAGCCGCGGUAAUACGUAGGGCGCAAGCGUUGUCCGGAAUUAUUGGGCGUAAAGAGCUCGUAGGCGGCUUGUCACGUCGGGUGUGAAAGCCCGGGGCUUAACCCCGGGUCUGCAUUCGAUACGGGCUAGCUAGAGUGUGGUAGGGGAGAUCGGAAUUCCUG
rnacentral:rRNA from 2 species